UUGCAUCUCUUUGAAACGGUCCAGAUCCCUGUGCCGGUUUUCCCAGAGUGAACUUUUCGUGCUGCUUUGCUGUUUUGCUGGAUGGUACCAUCUCUGUUGCUGCUGCUGCUGUGGCUUGCUGCUUUGUUCUUUGACUGGACUGCUAGUAUCCUGAUGACUGAGAUUGAUCUCAAUAUUCUUCAGAUUGUUAUUCUCUGUGAAAGUUGUGGUAACUCUAUAAUCUUAUCUGUUCAAAUACCCAGUGCUGGACUAUUUGAUUGAUGCCUUACCUAUUACAAGAGAAGGAGGGACAAAGAUAGCCAUGUUUAUAAAACAAGGUAAUAAAGAUUGAAAUUUAACAUUGGAAACAGAAUACAGCUCGUUCCUAUCAUCGGUGGAGCUAAGGAGUGGAAUGGCUGUGAACAUCCAUGAAGACAGAAUCACUGACUCUUCACAGACCUUGUCUGGUAGCGACGAAUGGAAAUUUUCAGCAUUAUGAAACACUGUGCUUCUGCUUUCAUGGUACAUUAUUAAGGGCACUUGGAAGAAUUAAACUUGAUUUGUUCAUGCUGAAACCAAUAUUGCUGCAUUCUUACAUCAGACAGGAAUGAAACUAAAUAUGCCUGGGCUAUUUUGCUCCUAUAAGCUGUGGAGCCCUUCUUAAAGUGAAAAACCAGGAGCUGAUUCUUUGAGAUGAGGGGCCCAAAAAUACACGUAAGAAACAGCCCAGUUCUCUCUCCUGUGUCUAGCCACCCUGUUUCUAUUAGGGUGGAAAACUGCUUCAAUGACAGUCCUGAAAACAUUCAAGAAAUAUACACACGUACAAACACUGUAAGUACAUUAUAUGUUUCAAUAUUCAAAUACUUCUCCAGCUCUUUAAGAAUGGUGGAUCAAUGGAACCGAACAAAAGACCCAGAAAUAAAUCCACACACCUACAGAUACUUGAUUUUUGAUAAAGAAGCCAAAACCAUACAAUGGAAAAAAUAUAGCAUCUUUAACAAAUGGUGCUGGUCUAACUGGAUUUCUACAUGCAGAACAAUGAAAACAGAUCCAUACUUAUCACCCUGCACAAAACUAAAGUCCAAGUGAAUCAAAGACCUCAACAUAAAACCAGACACACUGAAUCAGUUAGAAGAAAAAGUGGGGAAGAGCCUUGAGCUCAUUGGCACAGGAGAAAACUUCCUGAACAGAUCACCAACAGCACAGGCUCUAAGAUCAACAAUCAA